AUCAAGAGGGCUCUAGGAAAGGAUUGGCCACUAGCAAUCAGACGGCUGCACCAUUCAGCCUGAUUGGGAUACAGACCGCUCCAUCUCCAAACUCUACUCCUAUCCCUGGACACUUACCAGUUAAAAGGGCAAAGAGGAAGUAGCACCCUUGCUUUGCUCCAGCUGUUCCUAGCCCAGCAUUCCUUUCUGCUCAGCCAACUGUGACCAAGUUUGGCCUCAACCGUUCCUCUGAGACUGCCCCUGCCAAAGAUUUAUUGGCCUGUCAUGCGGUGAGCAAAGUGAACUUGAGUUCAGCAUCAAUUUUUGGUGAGCCAAGUCAGGAGCCUUGCUGCUUGUGACCAGCUGGCCCCAGUUGGAGAAUUUCGUAGCAGCUGUUGGGACCACUUGUCCUGAGGAUCUUCCCUUCAAAAUUCCCUGAAGUGGCACUGGCUGCCCCAGUACUUGGCAGCUGGAAUAAGGAAUCGACUUUUGGGAGCCAAUGGGUUCCAUAGAGUAAGCAUGAUCUCCUUUGCAAAUUAAAUGUUCAAGUAAAUUUUUCACCAUAAGAUCUUGACAUCAAAGUCCCAUUGGAGCAUGCUUUGAGCCUACAGAUGGCACUCACGGAGGCCCCAGGAAGGGAGGCAGAGCUCUUCCCCACCAAGGUCUAUGAAGAGAUGGGAAAGUAUGAAGCCAUUCUCUUGGACAAUCCCAAUUAAGACUUCAAGUCGCUUCAGCCCUGAAUCCAGCCACAUUGUUCCUGAUUGAUGCUGCACAAUCCCCAGAGCACCACUGUCUCCAUGCCCUUGAGCUGAUGUACUCAAGCAGACCAGACUUGACAGACCAUCCCUUGGCUGAGCCAGAUAUGGAACGAUUCACUGAGGGAAGCAGCUUCAUGGACUAAAUGUAAACAACACUUCGGGGGGUACAGAGAGAAAUACAACAAGGCUCUAGCCCAUAUUGGAUUUAUAAGAGCUACAGAACUGGCUAAGGGAAUGAGAUGCCUGAAUUAAAUGGAUAUUCUGCAAGGCUGGUC